GCUCCUUCAGCCCUUCCCUCAAUUUUUCCAUUGGAGUCCUGGGCUCAUUCUGGACAAAAAAUGGGGCAGAGACUAAAGGAAAGGCCAUCCAGAGACUGCCCUACCUUGGAAUCUAUCCCAUCUGAAGACACCAAACUCCAGCACUAUUGCGGAUGCCAAGAGACCAGGGCUUGGACUUGGCUGUGUUCCUCUGCUGAAGGUUACAGCUACUGCUGCACAGCUGUCUUUGUACAGAUCUCCCCAGAUAAAGCCACAAUGUAAGGUUCCAGGUGGCCACACUUAUUUGGAGACACCAUUUAACACGGUUCUGCUUCUACUUCCAUGAGAACCUAGUGAAGAAGACACAGCCAGAGCUUUGAUCAAAGAUUCCAAAUGCAAAUACAACUAACCACCCAACUGGUCCCAUCAGCCA
ensembl:lincRNA 1700023F02Rik RIKEN cDNA 1700023F02 gene